rnacentral:sRNA from 1 species
GCUGGGCAUGGUGGCACAUGCCUGUAGUUCUAGCCGCUUGGGAGGCUGAGUCAGGAGGGUUGCUUGAGCCCAGGAGUUUGAGGUUGUGGUGAGCUAUGAUAGAGCCAUUGCACUUCAGCCUGGGCAAUAGAGUGAGACCCUGACUCAA